UACUCCCAAAAAACACUUGCGUUACUGAGAACGGAGAAGGAGAGAGAGAUCGAGAGAUCAAAAACUGAAACCCAAAACAUCAGACACCAAUCAAGAUGAAGAAGAGCCGUACAGUCUCUUCUAAUAUCCCCAAACUCUCUCUCUCUCUCUUCUCACGAACCCUAAUCUUUUUCUUCAAGAAUAUUCAAUCCCUUCAAUCCAGGCUACAGAUCUAGAGUCUCUAAUUUAAUCAAAGCAAAGUAAGUUGCGGAGACAAGUAGAGAAUCUGUCAUGUAGCCAGAACCACUACAGAGAGCAAAGAGUAGGGAGGCAAUGAGACAUGAGAGAAUUAGAAGUGUUACCAACAAACGAUGCAAUUUCAACAUGAUUGGUAGACCCAAUGCGGCUGGCUAAUCUUCUUUGCAGGAUAGCCUUUAUUGUCUACAACAAUCUGUCAUUAACACAGAUUGAACACCACAAUGGACAUUAAUAUUACACAAAUUAUACCAAGGAGACCACGUGAAGUACAUGAUGGAGAACUUUCCUUGCAUAAUGGAAAAUCAAUAUCUUAAAUAAAGGACUUGGAGUGGAACUUAGAGACAAAGGUAUCAAAGGUAAACGAGAAAAACUAUUUGUAAAUUUACAAAUGCACACAUAAUAAAAAUAUACAUUAUACUAACAACUUUGCAACUGAAACAAGUAUAGGAUACAUGUCCAAGUAGAAAGUAAAACCGAUUCAACAACAUUCAUUUCAUUUGACAAAGCGACUGAGAAAUUUGUAUCUAAGACUAUAAAAGAACUUGCAGAGAUAUAAGCAGAGCUUAUAAACCUGCUGAAGAUGGAAAAUGAGAAGAUGAUAGCAUGCUUAUUCAAAUGCUUCGCAAAUGAAACAAUGCUACUAACAAAAUGCAUCAAAGAAGAAGAAAAAUUGAAGGAGGAAAAAUAGCAACUACAAAAUUCAAUUUAAUUUUCAGUUUUUGUUUUUCCUCCUACCUAGUGGGUGAAUUUUUAAUAAUAAAACAAUGAAUGUGAUUGCUAUUAAGUUGACAGGUUUUUAGUGUUAUCAUCUUAAUAUCUUUUGGUUAAUUUUUUGUUUAUAGUUUGUGAAAUUUCUAUUGCUAUGACAGCCUUGCAGCUAUUCUUUGAUGAUAA